UACUUGACCUUUGAAACUAGAACUCACAUUCACCUGCCGCUCCUCUUCCUGGGUCCUCAUGGUCUCCACAGAGCCAGUAUAGUAGAAGGUCUUCUCCUGUCUCAUUCAGUCCUUGGUGCCACUCUAGCUGGAGGUGGAGCUUGACAGGCAGCACAUCAGAAACAAUCUGUCAACACAACAGCUUCUAGACUCUUGAUUGUUGCUGCUUGACAACAUCUGCUUGUUCCAGUAUUAGCUAUGCAGAUCUUCAUGUUAGUGGUUUUAUUCACUGGGUUUACUGGUGACAGUUAUCAGCAAACCAUCCACUCAAUCCAGGACAGUCCAGUCCAGGCUCUACAAGGAGACGGCGUGACUCUCUCCUGCAACUACUCUUCAGCAACAAACCUCUUCUGGUAUCGGCAGUACCCCAGCUCACCUCCCCAGUUCCUUAUCAAAGAAUACAUGGAGCUAUCUAGAUUUACCUUGAAAAAGGACAGUGAUAAAAAAAUGUUCCAUCUGGAGAUCUCCGCUGCUGCCGUGACAGACUCUGCUUUGUACUUCUGUGCUGUGGAGCCCACAGUGACAGGAAACACAGACUCCCUGUACAAAAACCUGACAAGGAACUUGAAGAGCAUUUGUCAUUACCUUAAACUGUGGUUCAGGGGAGGCGCAUCUGGAGAGGUGAAUUCACCAGGAGCCUAGUGAAUAAACAGUAUU